AUACGGAGGAUCCGAGCGUUAUCCGGAUUUAUUGGGUUUAAAGGGAGCGUAGGUGGACAGUUAAGUCAGUUGUGAAAGUUUGCGGCUCAACCGUAAAAUUGCAGUUGAUACUGGUUGUCUUGAGUACAGUAGAGGUGGGCGGAAUUCGUGGUGUAGCGGUGAAAUGCUUAGAUAUCACGAAGAACUCCGAUCGCGAAGGCAGCUCACCGGGCCGGAACUGACACUGAUGCUCGAAAGUGCGGGUAUCAAACAGGAUUAGAUACCCUGGUAGUCCGCACAGUAAACGAUGAAUACUCGCUGUUUGCGAUACACUGUAAGCGGCCAAGCGAAAGCGUUAAGUAUUCCACCUGGGGAGUACGCCGGCAACGGUGAAACUUAAAGGAAUUGGCGGGG
rnacentral:rRNA from 1 species